CCUACGGGUGGCAGCAGUGAGGAAUAUUGGUCAAUGGACGAGAGUCUGAACCAGCCAAGUAGCGUGAGGGAUGACUGCCCUAUGGGUUGUAAACUUCUUUUAUAUGGGAAUAAAAUGUUCCACGUGUGGGAUUUUGUAUGUACCAUAUGAAUAAGGAUCGGCUAACUCCGUGCCAGCAGCCGCGGUAAUACGGAGGAUCCGAGCGUUAUCCGGAUUUAUUGGGUUUAAAGGGUGCGUAGGUGGGUUGUUAAGUCAGUUGUGAAAGUUUGCGGCUCAACCUUAUAAUUGCAGUUGAAACUGGCAGUCUUGAGUACGGUAGAGGUGUGCGGAAUGCGUGGUGUAGCGGUGAAAUGCAUAGAUAUCACGAAGAACUCCGAUUGCGAAGGCAGUUCACUGGACUGCAACUGACACUGAAGCUCGAAAGUGUGGGUAUCAAACAGGAUUAGAUACCCGUGUAGUC
rnacentral:rRNA from 1 species